rnacentral:rRNA from 1 species
GACGAACGCUGGCGGCGUGCUUAACACAUGCAAGUCGAACGGAAAGGCCCCUUUGGGGGUACUCGAGUGGCGAACGGGUGAGUAACACGUGAGUAACCUGCCCUUGACUUCGGGAUAACUUCAGGAAACUGGGGCUAAUACCGGAUAGGAAUCCUUGCUGCAUGGUGGGGGUUGGAAAGCUUCGGCGGUUUUGGAUGGACUCGCGGCUUAUCAGCUUGUUGGUGGGGUAGUGGCUUACCAAGGCUUUGACGGGUAGCCGGCCUGAGAGGGCGACCGGCCACAGUGGGACUGAGAUACGGCCCAGACUCCUACGGGAGGCAGCAGUGGGGAAUAUUGCACAAUGGGCGGAAGCCUGAUGCAGCAACGCCGCGUGCGGGAUGACGGACUUCGGGUUGUAAACCGCUUUCAGCAGGGGCGAAGCUUGUGGUGACGGUACCUGCAGAAGAAGCACCGGCUAACUACGUG